rnacentral:rRNA from 1 species
AGAGUUUGAUCCUGGCUCAGGACGAACGCUGGCGGCGUGCUUAACACAUGCAAGUCGAACGGAAAGGCCCUUCGGGGUGCUCGAGUGGCGAACGGGUGAGUAACACGUGGGUGAUCUGCCCUGCACUUUGGGAUAAGCCUGGGAAACUGGGUCUAAUACCGAAUAGGACCGCGCUCUUCAUGGGGUGUGGUGGAAAGCUUUUGCGGUGUGGGAUGGGCCCGCGGCCUAUCAGCUUGUUGGUGGGGUAAUGGCCUACCAAGGCGACGACGGGUAGCCGGCCUGAGAGGGUGACCGGCCACACUGGGACUGAGAUACGGCCCAGACUCCUACGGGAGGCAGCAGUGGGGAAUAUUGCACAAUGGGCGCAAGCCUGAUGCAGCGACGCCGCGUGAGGGAUGACGGCCUUCGGGUUGUAAACCUCUUUCAAUAGGGACGAAGCGCAAGUGACGGUACCUAUAGAAGAAGGACCGGCCAACUACGUGCCAGCAGCCGCGGUAAUACGUAGGGUCCGAGCGUUGUCCGGAAUUACUGGGCGUAAAGAGCUCGUAGGUGGUUUGUCGCGUUGUUCGUGAAAACUCACAGCUUAACUGUGGGCGUGCGGGCGAUACGGGCAGACUAGAGUACUGCAGGGGAGACUGGAAUUCCUGGUGUAGCGGUGGAAUGCGCAGAUAUCAGGAGGAACACCGGUGGCGAAGGCGGGUCUCUGGGCAGUAACUGACGCUGAGGAGCGAAAGCGUGGGGAGCGAACAGGAUUAGAUACCCCGGUAGUCCAA